rnacentral:misc_RNA from 1 species
GAAAUGCGAUAAGUAAUGUGAAUUGCAGAAUUCAGUGAAUCAUCGAAUCUUUGAACGCACCUUGCGCUCCUUGGUAUUCCUUGGAGCAUGCCUGUUUGAGUAUCAUGAAAUCUUCAAAGUAAAUCUUUUGUUAACUCAAUUGGUUUCUACUUUGGUAUUGGAGGUCUUUGCAGCUUCACACCUGCUCCUCUUUGUUCAUUAGCUGGAUCUCAGUGUUAUGCUUGGUUCCACUCGGCGUGAUAAGUUAUCUAUCGCUGAGGACACUGUAAAAGGUGGCCAAGGUAAAUGCAGAUGAACCGCUUCUAAUAGUCCAUUUACUUGGACAAUACUUUUAUGAUCUGAUCUCAAAUCAGGUAGGACUACCCGCUGAACUUAAGC